AAAUAUUUGUCACUUUUAUAUUUACAAUUAUAUUAGGGAUCGAAAUUUGUCUGUCGAAUUAUUUAAUUUACUUAUUUUGUUCAAAUCAUGUGUUCGAGUAGUGUGAGUGUGAGUGACGACUAGUAAUUGAAAAAAAAAAAAUAAAGAAAGAAAGAAGAGGGAAAGAGAGGCGCCGACUCCGACAGGGUACAAAAAAAAAUUGAAAAUAAUUCUGGAAAUUCGAUACAGAGAGGAUAUUUUGUUUUUGUUGUUCGCACCGUCGAUUAUCAAGUUGUACCGUUUGAUUUUGAAAUCACCGGCCGUGGGUCGACGGACGGUGACCGGGAUCCAAUUUCACCUUUCGACUGUAGUCUAGUUCUAUCUGGGCAAGCGAUUGGUUUCGAAAUUGAAGGGUUUGGAGAGAUUGGUUUUCGCGGGAAGAAGGCGGCGAAGAGAUCGUAGGCCAGGUUUCUUUUUAUUGCUUCUCUGUUUAGCUGUACCGGAUUUAAUGCUUUGUAUUUCGCAUGCAACCCGUUCAAAUUUUUCCUUUUUUUUUUAGAGAAUUUUUGGUUUUCUAGGUUUGUUUUCCUGGUUUCAGAAACAGAAACAACGGAAACUUUAGGGAAAACAAUAUUUGAUUCACCAUUAACAGGGGGGAAAUUGAAUAUGUUGAUUCGUGGAACGCUUAUUUUAUUGAAGGAUCAACAAGUGCACUUAGUCCUUGAAGAACAAUUUAGUUGUAGUAUAGGAACAUUAUUGCAAUAUACCCUAUGUUGUGCUACAGUUCCUGUUCCCCAGUGCACGAGACUCCUUUCUUUGCAAGGUUCGGGCAGUGUCGUAUUUGUAUGUAGCUUUUUUCUCUUGUUUUUUGGCAAAGAGGUUGUUUCCAUUUUGGCAGUAACAUUUUUUUUUUCGCUACAGUUGCCUGUAUUUGGAUAAAAUAGCCUCCAAAGUUGUUGUCUAGCUUAGCUUGUGAAGCUUCCUCCACCAGGACAUUCCCUAUCCAAAGUUAAAAGGUAAACAGAUAACGGGUGUUAGUGAUUGGUUGUUGGAUAUUUUUUGCCACAGUUAGCUUUUUUAAGUGAAUAAUUCGUAGGCAGUUGAAUAACAUGUACAUCAAUCUACUUUAAUUUUAAAUGGAAUGUAAAUGACCUGAAAAUAGUGAAUAAUGUUAGACGUGGAUUCUUGUUUCUUCCUGUAGAUGACGAGUAAGACUUGGUUGAGAUAGUUUAGAACUUUUGCAAAAGCAACAGUCUUGGUACUGCCAAGCAGGAAAAUUGAUUAUCUCCAUUCCGCCACUGGUAUUGCACGGAGUAGAGUACUUGGUUGGUUACGAAAUCUCUCUAGUGUAGUCAAACUAGGAUAAAUUACUGAAUAGGCGAGGUGUCCUAAAUAGAUUGAGGCAAGUGCUUCGUACAAAAUUCUUGGUAGGACCAGAAUGUGGAAACUUGAAGAUACAGUUGAGUUUACAUAAUAAUUACAACUGAUUGCAUUAGUUUCGGGACAACUUGUCCAAGUAGAAGAUUUCAGGUCAUGGAAUAGAAAGAAUGAUGAGUUCAAGUUGGGAGAAAAACCUACUUUGUGAAAAUAAAUAUGCAGCACUAGACAGGGUGCAGGCUUUGGGUUGAGGAAGACUUCGGAGUCUUUGAAACCCAUCUGGCUCCUUGGUAUCCGGAUAUCUCAUAACCAAGAUGUUGGGGGCUGACACAAUUAUUUGUGAUUGCAUCGUGUCUUAGUUCAUGGUAGUUGUUCUCCCAAAAUAUUCACCCUUGGAACUGGAACAUUCCUCACAUAAAUGUUUAUGCUGAAGAGUCAUGAUUUAGGAUAACUUUUUUUAAGCUCACUCACUCUCUGAAAUUAACAUUACUCAUUCAACAUAGAACAACAAUUUUAUAGAAGACAAGUUGACUUCAAAGGAAAAACUAUUGACACUUACUAUAGGCAUUAUUCGGUUUCUACGCAUACUACUGAUUCCCAAUAACUUCCUUAAUAACUUACGCUCUAGCAUUCUAAUAGGUACACUCAUCACACCACUGCUGCUCUUACCUGGUUCCCUCAUCCAUCAUGCUACUUUUAAGCCCACUGCAUAUGUUUACUCUUCUCGGCGGCUUGAGUUGUUCAUGUAAAGCUCUAAUUGGAGACAAAUGUCCCAACAUACCCAAAUCCGACUAUGAAGAAAGCUCCAGCUUGCAGCAAAAGAUAUAUGAAGAAAUGAUCUUUACCAAAGAGUAGAUCAUAGAUCGCGCAAUGCAGCAUAAACAUGCCCAUUAGAAUCUCCAGGACAUGGAUCCUGUUUCAGAAUUAUAAAUAUCAAAAUUAUGCAUUAGAAGAUUCAACAAGGUAUUAUUGUCAUAUUCCAGAGACUAGAGAAUAACAUGCUUCUUGCUUUAAUGACGAGUUCUUUUUUGGCUGAAUGAAUACUCAAGUGAAUGAUAGUGAUGUAUGUUUGGCAAGUAAUACCUUUCUCCGAUUCGUGAUCGUGGUUUCUUUGAUGCUUUGGCAUUGCCCUUAUGCUUGCUGGUGUUCCCUAGCUUCUCAGUUACAACCCAUUCAUUGACUCGGUUGGCUUCUAGAAGUCCUAUAAUUGCUGCCUUAGAUCGAUGUAGAGACAUUACAUUCUCAAACAGGAUCCAGAAGACAAGAAGAUGCAAAGACCUAUAUCUCAAUGAGCAAGCAAUCUCCCAUAAACAAAUGUUAUUUUGUGAAAUAUAUAGGGAUGUGACAGAUAUUUUAGAUAAUAGUUACCUGGGAGUGCAGACGGCAUUCAGAAUGGUAAUGGUGGCUGGAAUAUAUAUGGCUAUUGGUUUGGGAAGGUGGACUUCGGGAACUAAGAUGCUUGCUGGUAUAAUAAUGCAGUAAAAGAAGAAAGUGACCCAAUGUGCUAUUAUUUUCCUCACAAAGAAGAAUGCAUAAAUGACAUGAAAUUUCUUCCAAAAGGUCACUCUCUGCAUAAUAUAACAAAGGUAUUACAUGAGUUUCCUUUGAAAAGAGUUCCUGAAUAGGUUUAAGAAAUACGAUAUUAAUUUCCUCACCUCACAGAAGAUGAUUUCCUUGGUCAUUUUCCUGAAUAAGUUUGCUGGGCCACAUGACCAACGAUGUUGUUGAUACCGGUAAGCCUUGAAGGUGCUUGGAAGUUCGUUUUUGACCUAUAUAGAGAAAAAUAUGGUUUCUUGGUUUACUGAAGAACUCCAAUAAAUUGCAACAAAUUGUGAAAUUAAAGGAUGGCCAAAAAAACUUACUGAUAAGUCCCCUACGAAGACAAAUUUCCAACCUUUAAGGCUAGCCCUGACUGCAAGAUCCAUAUCUUCCACUGUGGUUCGAUCUUUCCAUCCACCAGCAUCAUUCACUGCUUGGAUCCGCCAAACACCAGCUGUCCCUACAAUUUUAUUCAUGAAAAUUCUUUCAGUAUUAUUUUUUUGGAAUGGUUUCUUACUAUCCACCUGAGGAAUGAUUCGUAUGGUAGUAAAGUUCUAGUUUAUUUUACCAUUGAAUCCAAAGAAGGAACAUGUUGAGGAGCCAACUUCUUGUUCAACACUAAAGUGAUAGUCUAGUGACAUCUCUUGGAGACGGGUCAUCAGGCAUUCAUCCGCAUUAACUACAAAGUUCACAGAAAGCAAUUAAUCUGAAGAUGAGUGGAUAACAAAUAUGGCUAAUUAUUUGUGUGCAUUUGGCUUGUUUAUUAUUUUGGAUUGGACACAUGCAUGGAUGAACUAAAAAAGUUAUACUAGUUGAUAAUAGAAUAAAAUUGCUUUGAUGGGCCAUCAACUACCAGGUGCUCAUGCAGUUGGAGAUUGGAUUACUGUUAGCCUUACCAAAUUUCCAUCUGGCCUGAACCAAAGCCAACUCUGGAUUCUCAAGAAGAUAAGGUAUUGUCCUCCAAAGAAAAUCUUCAUCAGGUUGGAAGUCUGCAUCAAAAAUUACCACGAAUUCACAAUCUUUCACAUAUUGUUUCUGCAGACCCUCACGUAGGGCACCGGCCUUGUAUCCAUGCCUGUUAUUCCUUGUCUCAUACUUGACAUUCACUCCCUUUUCUAUCCAUUUCUGGCACUCCAGUUCUACCAAAGCCUGCACAUACAAGCAAAUGAAAUCAAUGCAAAUUUCCAAGUGUAAUAGACUUUGAUUGGAGGUUCUGUUAGGCAAAAGGAGAUACCCUCAGGACUUCGUUGGUGGAAUCAUCAAGCACCUGAACAAUGAAACGAUCUGAUGGCCAUGAAAGUCCACAUACAGCUCCAAUUGAAAGCUUGUAAACCUAAAAAGAAGUAACUGGGGAUUACUUGAAAUUGCUUAUAAGUUUAGCCGUAAAAGUCUCUAGAUAGUCAUACUUAGGAACUGUAAUACAUCCUGUCUGCCUGGUUAUGGUUGGAGGAUUUAUGUGUAUGGGUAUGUAGUUUCUUUUAUAAAAGAGCUACAUCACCCAAGUUUGUAAUGAUGGCGCUAAAGUUGUUAGAACACAACAUAAUACGACGUAACAAUACAGUUAAAAAUUAGCCAGAUUAGGCCAACCACAUGCUUAUUUGUGUUUUAUCAGAAAAGAGGGUAAUUAUGGCAUCUGAUGAAUAUUCAUUACCCAUUUGCAUUUUGCUGCCUUUGUUCAUUUCCUCAGAUGAUGCUUGUAGAUGGUUAUGUCAUGAAAUGUCAACUAGGCAUUUUGUGCUGUGUUUGCAUUUAUAAGGUAGUAGAGGAUGAUAUCAGAGUUAGAGUUGUGGUCUAUUACUAAAUUGAGAAAUGUCACAAUUCCAAGGCAUGUGCAAUAUGGACAUGUAUUGCUUCUGUUACUUGUGUGUUCUUUAACUCCCUAAUAUUUGAACAUAUAAGCAUCUUGAUUCAUGAACAUAGUUGUAAAUUUUCAUGCCAUAGAACUGCAAACAAUCUUUCUAAACCGAUAUCUUGCUGUAUGAACAUUUUAUAACUAAAAGAUAAUGAUAACAACAUAAUUAUUACUGUUGAUGAAGCAAUGCUAGAAAUGCACUUCAGGACAAAUUUUGACUAUAUUCACCCACAGAUUUUUCUCAGCAAAAAUUGGAACAGCUGAGAUAAAUUGUUAAAAUCAUUGUCUUUUUUAUUACCUCACAUGUUGCUACAACUUUAACAAGCUCAUGAACCAAAUCCGUAUAAAUACUGGGAUACUUUCCUCACUGAGCUUCAGAGCUAACAUAAUAUAUUAUAAAUCAGGUAACUAUCAGUAAUUAUGUACGUACCCAGAAAAAAAACUAAAUAAAUUGGCUCAGAAAAAAUAUCCAUUCCUGAAUCCAGAAAGAAUUUAAUUAUUGUUGAUUGUUGAACACUGGAAAAUCUUUUUCCUUUUCCAUUUUGCAAUGAACUUUUAUAACAUACCAUGAAUAGGAAAAUAACAAGCCAAAAACUCUUUCAAUUUAAAUGUGUGCGAUACUUGUGGAUUGAGUGCAUUGAAUACGCAGAUUACUUUUAGAAAACAGUGGAGUGAAGUUCAGUUUGUAUACCUCCCUUUCAUUGAACAUAGGUAUUUGAAUCAACACCAUAGGAUAGCUUCUGUUGUGCUCUAUAUCCUCUUUCAGGGCUUCCAGCUUGUACCUGGUAUAUCUUUUCUUCCCCAGCAGCUUGACACACAGGAUUACGAAGGCCAUAUAAACACGUUCAACAAAAAGCAUAAUUGACAUGCUCGCGCAUAUGUAAAUUGCAACUGUUAGGAGCGGCACAACGACUGGAACUCUGAUGCGCUGCCAAGCAGAGCUGAGACUGGCUGUAACAUCAUCUAUCACUCCCAUCUCGGGCUCUUGAAGCACUAAAUUUCUCAUGGUCACAGGUUUAUGAUAGGGAGAAAGAAGACCGAAAUUUAGAGCUCAGAAAGAUAUAGUGAAUUACUUGAGAGAUGAGGCAACAGAUUGAUACUGGAAGCGCAUCAAGAUGUUGCAGUGCGUUUGGAGAGUACUGCUUUAAAUAGAAAUUGGCAAAAUGAAGGUGAAGAUAAAGAUGCAUUUUCGGCUUAGGUGGAAGAGUUCAGUACGUUUAGUAGAGUGAUGCAAUAAAGGUUUUAAUAGUGGGAGACACCCGGUCUACAUGCAAGUGAAGAUACUGCAACGUAUCACCUUGCUAGCUGGACUUCUGGCCUUUCCUGCCGACAAUGCGAAUGAGAUAUUUGAAGUCAGUUGGCGUUGGAAUUUUAUCUCAUUCCUCGCUACAGGGUUGCAUUAGGAAGGGCAUUUGGCGGAAAAUUUUAUCGCAUUGUUCUUUUGCAUGGAUUUGAAUUGUCAAUAUAACUUUUAGAAGUCAAUUGACAUUGGAAUGCCAUGGCACCGACCCCAACGUUAGUAUAAGGUGCAAUUGAUGACAAUAAUGACUUAAAGGCCUACAUGUUCUAUUUAGUUAAUCCUGAAUUUUUCUUUUCAUUUUCCUUGAAUUAUAACCAAGUAGAUAAAAAUAUUUGAGCUUUAAUUAAUGGCUGUUCUCAUCAUUUUUGUUUCUUUUGAAGCCUUUGUUGUAUGAUUUGAAAAAAUUAAAUGGAUAGAUUGAAUAAUUUAGAUAUGGGUUUAAAUUGCAAAGUAGACAAUGGAAACCUUAAUGAGCAAGUUGAGUCUAUAAUGCUUGAUUGUGUUGACAAAAACCAAUUAUGGUUAAUUUAACUACAAUGGUCUGAAAUACCAAAGAGCGCAUCAAAUAAAGAAAUGCAUUCAUCAGAAUUUUUCCAAGGUGCUGGUGCAAAAUAUCUUAUGUGCAUUUAAGCCAAUUGUUGGCAAUAAGGUUUAACACCUUAUUUAAGCUGUUGGUUUCCUCAAGAAAUUUAUUUGCUGUUGGAAGCUAUGGAGCCUAUGAUUAACGCGGAAUCUGCAAUUGGUGCCGCCACAAUCUACUGUUUAAGGUUAUUCUUUUGGAGUGAAUUGAAAUGCUAUAAUUGUGAGUAGAAUUUUAGGAAUUGACGUAAGUGCUUGAUUCUGUAGCCACUUUGUUAGUUUGAGCCUCUUUGUGAGUUUUGGAGGAAUAUUUUAGAAUCUAGUGGUUUUAAGUUAAGUAAAUUGAAAAUCAACUACAUGAAAUGCAAGUUUAUUAAAAUUUAGAUGUGGAUAAUGUUAUUGUGAAACUUGGAAAUCAAGUCAUUCUAAGAAAAACUAGUCCAAGAUCUAGAUACAGUGGAUCAGUCAUCCAAAAAGAUGGAGAGAUUGAUGUGGAUAUUACCCAUAGAAUUAAGGUGAGAUGGUUAAAUUUUGAUGUUUUAUGUGUUAGUAAGAUUUAGUUAUAGCUAAAAAGAAAAAUUUUAUAAGACAAACAAGACCAUCUUUGUUGUAUGGCACAAAAUAUUGGACAGUGAAGCGCUAAUACGUGCAAAGUAUGAGUUUAAUGGAGAUGGGAAUGUUGUAAUAGAUGUGUGACUAUACAAAAAAAAGAAAGAAAAAAAAUUAAAAAUAAGGUUAUUAUUUGUAAUAAGGUUGGAGUACCUUCUAAUGAAGAUAAGAUGGUUAGAUAGAAUUAAGAUAGUUUGGUUAUGUGACAACAAGUCUAGUAGUUAUAAAGGUUGGAAUGGAAUGGAGAAGAAGAAGAUUGGAUGGAAUGGAACAAGUCUUUUAGCAAAGGAGGUAGAGGAAGAUCAAGAAAAACUUGGUGGGAGACUUUUAGGUAUGAUAUGAGUGAUAAGAGCUUUCCAAAAGAUAUGGCUUUGGAUAGAAAUGAUUGGCAAUAAUUCAUGUAGCUGACUGACUAAGUGAGAUUAAUGCAUGAUAUAUUGUUGUUGUUUUUAGAGUUAAAAGGGCCUUAUAGAAAGACCAUAGAUAGAAAUGAUUGAUGAGUAAGAACUCAUGUGGCAGAGUAGGAUUAGCACUUCAUUUGUUGUUGUUAUUAUGAGUUGCAUGUUUCUAUUUCUUAUUUAGUUAUUGGCUGAUUCAGAAAAUGUUAUGAAAAAUAGCACAAGUACAUUGCACCUUAUGUGGCUCACAUUCUUCCAAUUCUUUUAAACUUGUUCAAGUAUGGUUCGGAUGUACUUAUCCUAUUCUUUUGCUUCUAUAAUUACAUGUUAAUUGACAGUUUGAAGUGACUAAUGUCUCAGAUUUUUUAAGAAAAAAAAAAAAAAAGGUGCACGUGGCAUCUAGCUGAAAAAAAGGUACAAAUGGUACCUUGUGUCGCUAUUCCUGCUCUUUCAUAGUUUACCAUGUUUAAAUAGAUAACAGUGAAGAUUUGGCUAAUUCCUGUCUGUUAACAUGGUAACUUGUGAUUACAAUGCAAAUUUGGAUGUAUUUCACCAUAUUGGCAUUAACAGAGUGCUGUUAGUUCUGCCUGAUUGAUAGCUGCCAAAAGGUUUCUACCAUUAAAUUCAAGGAAUCUGGUCUACUGGAAUGUAUCAGAAGAUAAGAAGCUCAUUCUGACAGUUACGAAGACCUUAUGUAGUUAUUUAAAUGUUCUGGUUGAUGUUAAAUAGAGUAUUCUCUGUUCCUGAGUUCUGUUACUCUGAUAUGAAACGAGUCUAUUUUGAUUUGUGAGUUAUGUAUGCACUCUGAUAUUCGAUAACAAACUAUUAUACAUGAGUCUCUUUGGCUUAUUUUCCUUAGAUAUCAUCUAAUGCUUGUCAAUAGAAAUUUUGUUGACAAACCUUUUUGCCGCCUUUUUUUUUUUUCUCCCUGAAAAGACAAGUGAUUGUCGAUCAUAAACUCUAAUUCUCUUGGAUGUGAACUGUGGAAAAUAUUUUGCAUGAUAGCUGGACUCGAUACAAUAACUUUUUGUGCCAGUUUACAAACUCUUUGAGGGGGCUUAAUCCCGGUAAUCCUGCGGUCUUCAUCCCUGGUACACCUUUAAUACCUUUUUAUCAUUUUGCUUUUCCUCUCUUGGCUCCUUAGUAUUUUGGAAACGGCCCCUUUACAAAAAUAUAAGGGGAAAGAGUGUGUACAAAUGUAAUGUGAUUCUCUCUUUUUAACACUCGACUCUGGCAAGGUUGAAAGACUCGAUGCCCUUUUUAUACAUGGAUGAUUGCUCAGCUGCACUCGAAUUUGUAAAAUUCAUUCAACAAUUCAGGGGCUUAUUAGCUGCGCUGGGUUGGGCUUGAUUUUAACCCAUUGAGUUAGAGGGUUGGGUGGUUGAUAUUUCAAUUAUGUUGACUGGUACUUGUUAUAAAGAGAGCAAAUGUUGAGGCCUCCAAGGAAAGCUACUCAAUGGGUUUGAGCAAAUAUUGGAGCAAAUGUUCUAAAGUUUACGAAUUUGAG